rnacentral:rRNA from 1 species
AGCUCCAAGAAUACGCGGAGGAGGUGGCCCGGGUCGGCGUCGGCGCCGUCCGGCGCGGGCCAGGGGCCCGGUUCCAAGUGGGUCUGCGCGCCGGCCACCCACGCCGAGUCCUUCAAGUGCCGCUUCCACCGCACCAACUCCCAGGGCCACGGCCACGGCCAGGGCCAGGGAAGCCGCCCUUCUUCGCCCCCUUCACCGGUCGCGGCCAACGCAGUGCCGUGGCACCCGGCCUCGCCGUCCUCGUCCUCCGGCACCGUCGCGACCCAGUGA